rnacentral:rRNA from 1 species
GACGAACGCUGGCGGCGUGCUUAACACAUGCAAGUCGAACGGAAAGGCCCCUUUGGGGGUCCUCGAGUGGCGAACGGGGGCGUAACACGUGAGUAACCUGCCCUUGACUUCGGGAUAACUUCAGGAAACUGGGGCUAAUACCGGAUAGGAAUCCUUGCUGCAUGGUGGGGGUUGGAAAGCUUCGGCGGUUUUGGAUGGACUCGCGGCUUAUCAGCUUGUUGGUGGGGUAGUGGCUUACCAAGGCUUUGACGGGUAGCCGGCCUGAGAGGGCGACCGGCCACAUUGGGACUGAGAUACGGCCCAGACUCCUACGGGAGGCAGCAGUGGGGAAUAUUGAACAAGGGGCGGAAGCCUGAUGCAGCAACGCCGCGUGCGGGAUGACGGCCUUCGGGUUGGAAACCGCUUUCAGCAGGGGCGAAGCUUGUGGUGACGGUACCUGCAGAAGAAGCACCGGCUAACUACGUG